CCCGCUUUUUAAACCUCUCUGUCCAAACACCCGAGAUAAGCGGGAGGCAAAUUGAAAACACGUCCCGGCCUUUCGCAGCAGAGCUGCAGCCGCUCCUCCUGGGCGCAGGGGAUGUGGAAGCCACGGUACAACAGGAUGGAACUGACUCAACAUCACCUUGCUGAGAAUUACACUGAAUUCCUGCGAUUCUUCCACUCCCCACAGUAUUGUGAAGGAAGACUUGUGUAAAAUGCACUUACAUAACAAAUGGAUGAAGGUUACAGUGCAAGCAUGUCUUCUCUCCAGAGAAAAACCAUACAGUUUUAUUUGAAAUUCUUUUUUUUUCCCCUAUCUCCCCCAUGUAUUUUCUUUCAAAAGUGUAGAAAAUAAAUGUGAUUUGCUGUUGUUUUUAAAAGCU